UCCCACUGUUUUCACCAGACAUAUGACAAA
rnacentral:piRNA from 1 species